AAUGUAUCUCUCCGUCCGAAAAUACUUGUCGGAGAAAUGGAUAAAAAAUAAUGUAUCUAGAAAUAAAAUACGUCUAGAUACAUCCAUCUCACCGACAAGUAUUUUCGGACGGAGGGAGUAUAUG
rfam:Triticum aestivum genome assembly, contig: Triticum_aestivum_CS42_TGACv1_scaffold_374454_5AL